GCUUCCGGAGCUAACGCGUUAAGUCGACCGCCUGGGGAGUACGGCCGCAAGGUUAAAACUCAAAUGAAUUGACGGGGGCCCGCACAAGGAAGCAUGUGGUUUAAUUCGAUGCAACGCGAAGAACCUUACCUACUCUUGACAUCCAGAACUUAGCAGAGAUGCUUUGGUGCCUUCGGGAACUGAGACAGGUGCUGCAUGGCUGUGUCAGCUGUGUUGUGAAAUGUUGGGUUAAGUCCCGCAACGAGCGCAACCCUUAUCCUUUGUUGCCAGCGGUUCGGCCGGGAACUCAAAGGAGACUGCCAGUGAUAAACUGGAGGAGGGGGGGAUGACGUCAAGUCAUCAUGGCCCUUACGAGUAGGGCUACACACGUGCUACAAUGGCAUAUUAAAAACGACCUCGCGAGAGCAAGCGGACCUCAUAAAGUUUUUUUUAUCCGGAUUGGAGUCUGCAACUCGACUCAUGAAGUCUGGAAUCCCAA
rnacentral:rRNA from 1 species